CCUAGGGGUGGCUGCAGUGGGGAAUAUUGGGCAAUGGGCGCAAGCCUGACCCAGCAACGCCGCGUGAAGGAAGAAGGCUUUCGGGUUGUAAACUUCUUUUAAGAGGGAAGAGCAGAAGACGGUACCUCUUGAAUAAGCCACGGCUAACUACGUGCCAGCAGCCGCGGUAAUACGUAGGUGGCAAGCGUUGUCCGGAUUUACUGGGUGUAAAGGGCGUGCAGCCGGGAAGGCAAGUCAGAGGUGAAAUCCCGGGGCUCAACCGCGGAACUGCAUUUGAAACUGGUGUUCUUGAGUACCGGAGAGGUCAGCGGAAUGCGCGGUGUAGCGGUGAAAUGCGUAGAUAUAAGGAAGAACACCAGUGGCGAAGGCGGAUGGCUGGACGGCAACUGACGGUGAGGCGCGAAAGCGUGGGGAGCGAACAGGAUUAGAUACCCCGGUAGUC
rnacentral:rRNA from 1 species